GUCUAUAUAUUCAUCGUACAAUUGUUAUURACAAAYAAUCAUCAAGGUAGUGUUGAUGCUAAAUGUGGUAAAACAAAUGCUAGAUGUGCAGUGGACCGUCCAAAUCAAUGUUGUAGCGGGAAAUGUGUAGCUGAKCAUCCUAAAUAUUUUUAUGGAAAAUGCACUGCUUGUACAAAUGAUUAUGAUGAUUGCGAUUUGAAUGAAGCUAAAUGUUGUAAUCCUGAUUUUGAUUGUUUUGAUGAUGAGGAUGAUCCUGAUAAUGAAKCACCUAGUUGU